rnacentral:rRNA from 1 species
CGGGAAAAGCUCAAAUUUAAAAUCUGGCGGUCCUUGGCCGUCCGAGUUGUAAUCUAGAGAAGUGUUACCCGCGUCGGACCGUGUACAAGUCUCCUGGAAUGGAGCGUCAUAGAGGGUGAGAAUCCCGUCUUUGACACGGACUACCGAGGCUUCUGUGGUGCGCUCUCAAA